UCGUAAGUACUGUGUAAAAAGAUAGGCCAAGAAACGGUCAAGAAACGUUUUUCUGUCGAAAUUUCUUGAGCCGUACUCAGCUGGAACGGAAUAAUCGAUGAACUUGAUGAUCAUUGAUGACGGUGAUGAUUGUGUCGAUCAAACCAGCUGUCACUUUUUUUCUGCGGGAAAAAUAGCCUGACCGAUUAUUCCCAAAGUAAAAGUGACAUUUCAUUGGCAGGACUAGUUUUUUUUGUGUUUUUUCGAGUGAUCACUCGCAAUCGAGAAACAUUCGCAAUUUUCUCCGACGACAGUCACUCUGGCCGCACCGGUUCGUCAAUGUGCCAAAUUCUGCAAUCCGGCGCAGUGUCAUCCCACCAUGGGGACCGGGACAAUUUGGCCUCGAACGUUAUAAUCCGGCGCCCUGCAAUCAUGCUGCUGCAAACAAGCUAUAGAAGAGGAGUUUGCGAUGUCCACCCGAGCUGGACUGGGAAAUGCGAGAAGGAGGAAGUACCGACAACAUAAACGGAACUAGUCCAAUGCAUCGCAGUAAGAGCUCAGCGGAAAAUAGUCGGACGUGGUUCUUCUGGGGCGGCAAGAAAAGGGAUCAUCUUUUAUGGGAUUGGUAGGUAUGUACAUAUUGCAGUGUUUGUCAAAAUGGAGCAGGUAUUUGGACUACAUACGAUAAAAUGAUCCUGAAAAGAAAACCACGGUAGAAUUCGUUUGUGAGAAGAAGCCUGCAGCAGAGAUUCCGGCCGCAAACUGACAAGAAUGAGGAAUUCGAAAAAAAAAGUAAAUUGAGAGCUAGUGAUGAGAAGAAAUACGCGAAUUAUACAAAAUGGUUUGCGUGAAUAAGUGUGCCAAUAAAAUAAAGCAGGUUUAAAUGUG